CCAGAUUGUUGGCUAAUCGCUUCGCAUUACUAAAUUGUGGAGAGGAAAGUCCGGGCAGUAUAGGGAAAGACAGUCGUUAACGACGACCGGGGGCAACCCUAGGGAAAGUGCCACAGAAACGAAACUACCUUGGGUAACCAAGGAAAAGGUGAAAAGAGUGGGGUAAGAGCCCACAAUUCUAAGCGGUGACGCCCAAGAAUAGGUAAACCCUGUUUGCUGCAAGGAGGCACACAUUCAUUAAGGUUCCCGCCGAGUGUGUGCCAUAAAAUCCGCUUGAUCUGCCGAGCAAUCGGUAGGCUAGAUAGAUGAUUGGCAUUCUGGUUCGCCAGAGUACAGAACCCGGCUUAUAGACGAUCUGGUAAA
rnacentral:RNase_P_RNA from 1 species